GCCCUCCUCUGCUAGCUUGGUCAGAUUAGUUCCAUACUCUUCAAGCGUAGGCAUCUUAUUGCUGCCACCUCCUGGUCCAACAGGAGCAGGAAUAUUUUCUGUGCUUUNNNGAAUGACCUGUGUGCGGAUGUUGCUAGUGUCAGCACCCAAAUUCUCAAGGACACGGGCCGCUACACCUUCACCUUCACGUAGCAGCCCAAGAAGCAAGUGCU
rnacentral:misc_RNA from 1 species